AACGCGAAGAACCUUACCUGGGCUCGAAAUGCUAUGGACCGGGGUAGAAAUAUCCCUUCCCCGCAAGGGGCCGUAGUAUAGGUGCUGCAUGGCUGUCGUCAGCUCGUGUCGUGAGAUGUUGGGUUAAGUCCCGCAACGAGCGCAACCCUUACCCCCAGUUGCCAUCAUUUAGUUGGGCACUCUGGUGGAACCGCCUCGGAUAACGGGGAGGAAGGUGGGGAUGACGUCAAGUCAGCACGGCCUUUAUGUCCAGGGCUACACACGUGUUACAAUGCACGGUACAGACUGUUGCGAACCCGCGAGGGGGAGCUAAUCGGAUAAAACCGUGCUCAGUUCGGAUUGCAGUCUGCAACUCGGCUGCAUGAAGCUGGAAUCGCUAGUAAUGGCGUAUCAGAUCGACGCCGUGAAUACGGUUCCCGGGCCUUGUACACACCGGAGUA
rnacentral:rRNA from 1 species